rnacentral:rRNA from 1 species
UACGGGGGGGGCAAGCGUUGUUCGGAAUUACUGGGCGUAAAGGGCUUGUAGGUGGCCAACUAAGUCAGACGUGAAAUCCCUCGGCUUAACCGGGGAACUGCAUCUGAUACUGGAUGGCUUGAGUUUGGGAGAGGGACGCGGAAUUCCAGGUGUAGCGGUGAAAUGCGUAGAUAUCUGGAGGAACACCGGUGGCGAAGGCGGCGUCCUGGACCAACACUGACACUGAGGAGCGAAAGCCAGGGGAGCAAACGGG